UUGAAACACUGGUUCCCAUAUGAUCACCAAAGUUAAGCAAUGUUGAGUCUGGUCUGUACCUAGAUGGGUGACUACUUGGGAAUACCAAGUACUGUAGG